GACGAACGCUGGCGGCGUGCUUAACACAUGCAAGUCGAACGAAGUGGCGAACGGGUGAGUAACGCGUAAUCAACCUGCCCUUCAGCGGGGGACAACAGUUGGAAACGACUGCUAAUACCGCAUACUGAAGGAGGGGAUUGCGUCUGAUUAGCUAGUUGGAGGGGAAACGGCCCACCAAGGCGAUGAUCAGUAGCCGGUCUGGGGGGAUGGACCGCCAAAUUGGGACUGGGAAACGGCCCAGACUCCUACGGGAGGCAGCAGUGGGGAAUCUUCCGGAAUGGACGAAAGUCUGACGGAGCAACGCCGCGUGAGUUAUGACGGCCUUCGGGUUGGAAAGCUCUGUUAGUCGGGACGCGGUACCGGAAUAGAAAGCCACGGCUAACUACGUGCCAGCAGCCGCGGUAAUAC
rnacentral:rRNA from 1 species